GUUACUUCGGUACAUCGGUGACAGGUGGUGCAUGGUUGUCGUCAGCUCGUGUCGUGAGAUGUUGGGUUAAGUCCCGCAACGAGCGCAACCCCUAUUGUUAGUUGCCAUCAUUCAGUUGGGCACUCUAGCGAGACUGCCGGUAAUAAACCGGAGGAAGUGGGAUGACGUCAAAUCAUCAUGCCCCUUAUGACCUGGGCUACACACGUGCUACAAUGGUUGGUACAACGAGUUGCGAGUCGGUGACGGCGAGCUAAUCUCUUAAAGCCAAUCUCAGUUCGGAUUGUAGGCUGCAACUCGCCUACAUGAAGUCGGAAUCGCUAGUAAUCGCGGAUCAGCACGCCGCGGUGAAUACGUUCCCGGGCCUU
rnacentral:rRNA from 1 species